rnacentral:antisense_RNA from 1 species
CUUCAGCGAUCCCAGCCACAGGGGCCGGUCCCGGUCCCGGCCGUAGGUGGCGAGCAGCGCCUCGGCCUC